rnacentral:rRNA from 1 species
AGCAGUCGCCACGGUAAAACGGAGGGGCUAGCGUUGUUCGGAAUUACUGGGCGUAAAGCGCACGUAGGCGGCUUGGUAAGUUAGAGGUGAAAGCCUGGAGCUCAACUCCAGAAUUGCCUUUAAGACUGCCGAGCUAGCAGGUGAGAGAGGUAAGUGGAAUUCCGAGUGUAGAGGUGAAAUUCGUAGAUAUUCGGAAGAACACCAGUGGCGAAGGCGGCUUACUGGCUCAUACUGGACGCUGAGGUGCGAAAGCGUAGGGAGCAAACAGGAUUAGAUACCCGCGUAGUCCCUGUCUCUUAUACC